CAGGUGGUGUGACAGCUCAAGGGUAAAAAGGUAACAACAUGGCUUUGCGAACCCUAACUACAAUAGGCCGGAAAAUUUCUGAAUGGAAUCUCUUAAAGAUUACAACAGUUUUCGCGACCAACACUCGCAAUCUGAAACAAGUUACCCAGAGCGAAACAGCAGACGGUACAUUAGUGAUAGCCGGUACUUACGUCCCUUCAGACAGAGCGAGUAAUUUGGUCACAGUCAAGCUAGACCAUGAGGGGCCUUGCAGUGCUUGUUACAUGUGCAAACUUAAUCUUGAUGUCAAACAUACGGAUGUCCUGAUACUUAGUCAGUUUCUGAGGACAGAUGGAUGUAUGCUUCCUCGCAGAAUAACAGGUUUAUGCAAAAGGCAGCAGAAGCGUAUUGGAACAAUGGUUACCAUGGCACAGAAGGCUGGCCUGAUGUCAAACAUUAAUCCAUCGUGGAGCCACAAGGACCCAAGAAAGAGAUACAGAUACAAGAAAUGGAAUUCUUAUUGGGAUGAAACUACAAUCAAAUGCUAGAAAUUUAACAUUCAGAAAUGCACAUUCUACUGGCUCAUUAUCCUGGUUUGUUAGUUGCUCAAGAUUAAAUUUUGCUUCAGCUAUAUCAUCACACAAUGACAAAGAUGCCUGAAAUUCAGAUUUUAAAAUAGCAGUGCUUUUCCUUCUUGCUUCCGACCAUCAAGUAAAGCCAAGACAGCCAAAUUAUUACAGGCUUCACAAUGAUAUGCGUUAAUUCGUCGGGUCAGUUUCCAACAAAGCUCUGCUAAUUGCAAGUCUCCCGUCGCCAGACCUACGUGGCCGGCGUUGUACCAUAUCAUUGCCAGCAAGUGCAAGUCAUCUUUCACUGCAAGACUAAGGGCAUUUUCAAUGCAAGGAAUUACCAUGUCAAACUGUUGUGUUUUUAGACAGCAUAAGGCAAUAUUGCAGAACACUUCUGCAGUAUGUAUUCCCAUUUGAAGAAGUCGCCUUUAAGAAAAGUCACUACUUUAGCUUAUUCGCUCGUUUUGAAAUUUUUCUAACACGUUACAAACCCACCUGUAAAGCACAAGGGCCCAUUCCGGCUGCCCAGUAUAGAAGAGGUAUGCUGCAAUACAUGCCACUGCCUCGGUGUUGCUACAGUC
rnacentral:misc_RNA from 1 species